rnacentral:rRNA from 1 species
GAUUGAACGCUGGCGGUAUGCUUAACACAUGCAAGUCGAACGGCAGCACAGGGUGGCUUGCUAUCCGGGUGGCGAGUGGCGGACGGGUGAGUAACGCGUAGGAAUCUACCUUUCGUGGGGGAUAACCCGGGGAAACUCGGGCUAAUACCGCAUACGCCCUACGGGGGAAAGCGGGGGACCUUCGGGCCUCGCGCGGAACGAUGAGCCUGCGUCCUAUCAGGUAGUUGGUGAGGUAAUGGCUCACCAAGCCGACGACGGGUAGCUGGUCUGAGAGGACGACCAGCCACACUGGGACUGAGACACGGCCCAGACUCCGUACGGAGCAGCAGUGGGAAUAUUGGACAAUGGGGGAAACCCUGAUCCAGCAAUACCGCGUGU